rnacentral:lncRNA from 1 species
GGGUGGUGCUCCUUGUCAUGCGGCCACUUCCCGAAUAAAGUUUCUUAGGGUUUCUUCUAACCCUCUUGCUUUGUGGGAUACUAAUGCAGGCCAUCAGUUUGAGCCACUUGGAGGAGUUGCUGGGCCAGCUGGGGCAGGCCAUGCUGCUGGGACAUGCACAGUGCGGCUAGGCCGACUGCUCCAGGCUAUUGUUAUGGGCCUCUUGUGUCAA